UAUUUCUAAAAACGUUUCUGCGAUUCGCCUUAGAGUUUGAUCCUGGCUCAGAACGAACGCUGGCGGCGUGGAUAAGACAUGCAAGUCGAGCGCUGAUUACGAGGUAGCAAUAUUUCGUAGUUGGAGCGGCGCAAGGGUGCGUAACACGUGGGUAAUCUGCCGUGAAGUCUGGAAUAACUUGCUGAAAGGCGAGCUAAUACCGGAUGUGAAAAUUGGAGGGCAUCUUCUGAUUUUCAAAGUUGGGGACCGUAAGGCCUGACGCUUCACGAUGAGCCCGCGGCCUAUCAGCUAGUUGGUGAGGUAACGGCUCACCAAGGCUAAGACGGGUAGCUGGUCUGAGAGGACGACCAGCCACACUGGAACUGAGACACGGUCCAGACACCUACGGGUGGCAGCAGUCGAGAAUUUUUCACAAUGGGCGAAAGCCUGAUGGAGCGACGCCGCGUGGGGGAUGAAUGGCUUCGGCCCGUAAACCCCUGUCAUUCACGAACAAUGCCUGCGUGCUAACACCACGCAGGUUGAUAGUAGCGGAAGAGGAAGGGACGGCUAACUCUGUGCCAGCAGCCGCGGUAAUACAGAGGUCCCAAGCGUUGUUCGGAUUCACUGGGCGUAAAGGGUGCGUAGGUGGUCGGGUAAGUCUGAUGUGAAAUCUCGGAGCUCAACUCCGAAACGGCAUUGGAUACUAUUCGGCUUGAGGGUUGGAGGGGGGACUGGAAUUCUCGGUGUAGCAGUGAAAUGCGUAGAUAUCGAGAGGAACACCAGUGGCGAAGCGAGUCCCUGGACACUCCUGACACUAAGGCACGAAGCUAGGGAGCAACAGGAUUAGAUACCCUGGUAGUCCUAGCCUAACGGUGCGUAUUGCUGUAGAAGGAUCGACCCAUUUGUGUCGUAGCUACGCGUCAAUACGCCGCUGGCAGUACGUCGCAGAUCAACCUCAGAUGACGGGGGCUGCCAGCGGUGCGAUUAUGGUGCUCCAUUCGAUUCAC
rnacentral:rRNA from 1 species